rnacentral:rRNA from 1 species
UACGAAGGGGGCUAGCGUUGCUCGGAAUUACUGGGCGUAAAGGGCGCGUAGGCGGACAGCUUAGUCAGAGGUGAAAGCCCAGGGCCCAACCUUGGAACUGCCUUUGAUACUGGCUGUCUUGAGUUCGGGAGAGGUGAGUGGAAUGCCGAGUGUAGAGGUGAAAUUCGUAGAUAUUCGGCGGAACACCAGUGGCGAAGGCGACUCACUGGCCCGAUACUGACGCUGAGGCGCGAAAGCGUGGGGAGCAAACAGG